AGAUACUGCUCUUUUGUAUUUAUUUUUCAGGUUUGUGUCGGUGACAGUACUAGUGGUGAUACAGAUUUGACUGAAGAUGUUAACUUGUUUGCUGUUGAGAAAAGUGACUUUUAUUUGAACUUUGAGCAUCAUAAAUAUAUUCCCGUAAAUGACAGAAUUCGCUGCAUAGAAUCUUAAUGUUAACUAUGAAAUUUUAGGUUUUUGGAUAAUACAGACUACACUUGUGUAUCCCACGGUGUUUUCUAAAUUAAAGCACCAGU
rnacentral:lncRNA from 1 species